UCUUAAAGCCGUUCUCAGUUCGGAUUGUAGGCUGCAACUCGCCUACAUGAAGUCGGAAUCGCUAGUAAUCGCGGAUCAGCAUGCCGCGGUGAAUACGUUCCCGGGCCUUGUACACACCGCCCGUCACACCAUGAGAGUUUGUAACACCCAAAGCCGGUGGGGUAACCUUUUGGAGCCAGCCGUCUAAGGUGGGACAGAUGAUUGGGGUGAAGUCGUAACAAGGUACC
rnacentral:rRNA from 1 species